UAAUUGAAGAGUUUGAUCAUGGCUCAGAUUGAACGCUGGCGGCAGGCCUAACACAUGCAAGUCGGGCGGUAACAGGGAGAAGCUUGCUUCUCUGCUGACGAGCGGCGGACGGGUGAGUAAUGUAUGGGGAUCUGCCUGAUGGCGGGGGAUAACUACUGGAAACGGUAGCUAAUACCGCAUAAUGUCUUCGGACCAAAGCGGGGGACCUCCGGGCCUCGCGCCAUCAGAUGAACCCAUAUGGGAUUAGCUAGUAGGUGAGGUAACGGCUUACCUAGGCGACGAUCCCUAGCUGGUCUGAGAGGAUGAUCAGCCACACUGGGACUGAGACACGGCCCAGACUCCUACGGGAGGCAGCAGUGGGGAAUAUU
rnacentral:rRNA from 1 species